UCCGAGCAACUUUUGAGGGCGGGCAUAUUUGAAUUGAACGUCCUUGCGCCACGAACGUGAUUAAACAUGUUCGACUAAACGGCCUUCAACAUUCGAGCAGCGCGGGUUGCGUGUCCUUUUGAAAAGUUUCCCUUACAAAACACGCGCGGAACUUUUUGCACCGUCGCCGCCGCUGUUUUUAAGCGCGCUACUAAAAAACAAAAACAAAAACAAAAAAAAUAUAUAAAUUUAGUGUUGUUUAGUGUUUAGUUUUUGCCCAGCCCCAGCCCCAGCCCCAACACAAAUAAAACAUAAAACAAAAAGUGCAAAUAUUAAUGGAUCUGGUGGAUGUGAUCACGCGCUUAAGGACUUCUCCUCCACUUCCUGCCCCCUGGCAUAACUUGUCCCAGUUUUAAAAUAUUUUAUUUGUGACCAGUGCAAAAAAACAACAACCAAAAGGAUUUCUGUUCUUUGCAUCUUUCCGUUUGUCGCGAGUUUCUUUUGCCCUCUCCCCUCUCCGUUACUUUCGUUUUCGUGUCGCGUCUUAACUCUACCCUACCGCGUCGGCUUCUUCGCGAAAACUGCACUGGACUCUGCCAAUAGCUCCGUAAUUACUUCAGUCUUCAAGUCUCCAAACACCAGUCAACGUUUUGCUAUAGGAAACUCGUACGAAAAUGGAUUAAAACAACGCUUCCAAUCAACGGAUUUGAGAAUACAACAACAAAAAACAACAAUUAUAUUCUGGACAAAAAUCUUGGGAAAAUAUUUCUUCCCUUUUUGGCUAACAAUCAAAAUUAGCAAAAAUAAAAAAACAACUUGGAAACCAAAAAUAAAAUGAAUUAAAAAUCAUAGAAAAUAAAUGACAGACAAAAAUAUCUAAUAUUCUACGAAUUAAGGCCAACAACAACAAAUCGCUAAUGUUUAUGUAAUUCUUAAGGAACCCAAAACAAACAAACAAACGGAAGACAAAGAUUUUUAAGCCUACGAAUUAAGUACAAUCUACAAUUAAAAGAUAUUAAAUAUUAAACGACAAAACAAAAACUUCACUUAACAAACAAAACUGCAACUAUUUUUAUAAUCAACAAAAAAACAACAAAAAGCAACAAA